rnacentral:rRNA from 1 species
CGGGUGAGUAACACGUAGAUGAUCUACCUUUUAGUUGGGGAUAGCCCAUGGAAACAUGGAGUAAUACCGAAUAAUCUCUUAACCUCUUGUGGUUUUGAGGAAAGAACCGUUUGGUUCGCUGAAAGAUGAGUCUGCGCACUAUUAGCUUGUUGGUGGGGUAAUGGCUCACCAAGGCGACGACGGGUAGCCGGCCUGAGAGGGCGACCGGCCACACUGGGACUGAGACACGGCCCAGACUCC